AUUGAACGCUGGCGGCAGGCCUAACACAUGCAAGUCGAACGAGUGGCGGACGGGUGAGUAAUGUCUGGGAAACUGCCUGGUAGUGGGGGAUAACGUCUGGAAACGGGAGCUAAUACCGCAUACUAUCAGAUGAGCCUAGGUCGGAUUAGCUAGUCGGUGGGGUAAAGGCCAACCACGGCGACGAUCCGUAACUGGUCUGAGAGGAUGAUCAGUCACACUGGAACUGAAACACGGUCCAGACUCCUACGGGAGGCAGCAGGGGGGAAUAUUGGACAAGGGGCGAAAGCCUGAUCCAGCCAUGCCGCGUGUGUGAAGAAGGUCUUCGGAUUGUAAAGUACUUUCAGCGGGGAGGCGUUACCCGCAGAAGAAGCACCGGCUAACUCCGUGCCAGCAGCCGCGGUAAUAC
rnacentral:rRNA from 1 species